CUUGGAAUCGAAUUGGAUUUUAUUAUUUUCAAAUAUUGCAACGUAUCAAAUUUUUAACAAGAAAGUAAACUUUACUACGAAAAUUAAUAGCGAAACAUGUAACAAAUAUGACUAGUGGCGGAGAUUCUCACGUAACAAAAAUGUUCGAAAACAAAGAUAUUUAAUACAAUUUCUAACACUUGGCCAGAAUGCCACCCAGCCGAAUUUAACUCGGUAAUGAUCAAUAAUGUCAAAAACUUCUUAGAGUUCAUCUUUUGCACCUUUAGCAUCUUU